UUGUAGCUCAGUGGUAGAGUACUUGACUGGCAUGUGCUGGGUUCAUUUCUCAGCACUGCAUGUAAAUAAAUAAGAAAAUAAAUAAAAGGGCUGGGGAUGUUGCUCAGUGAUUAAGUGCCCCUGGGUUCAAUCCCUGGUAGAAA
rnacentral:tRNA from 1 species